rnacentral:rRNA from 1 species
AACGAACGCUGGCGGCAGGCCUAAUACAUGCAAGUCGAACGCCGUAGCAAUACGGAGUGGCAGACGGGUGAGUAACGCGUGGGAACCUUCCUAAUGGUACGGAAUAGCCCGGGGAAACCCGGAGUAAUACCGUAUAAGCCCGUAAGGGGAAAGAUUAUCGCCAUUAGAUGGGCCCGCGUCGGAUUAGCUAGUUGGUAGGUAACGCCUACCAAGGCUACGAUCCGUAGCUGGUCUGAGAGGAUGAUCAGCCACACUGGGACUGAGACACGGCCCAGACUCCUACGGGAGGCAGCAGUAGGGAAUAUUGGACAAUGGGCGAAAGCCUGAUCCAGCCAUGCCGCGUGAGUGAUGAAGGCC